rnacentral:lncRNA from 1 species
CCACUUAGUGGGGUCUGGGGGGGGUAAGAUGUACGCAGUCCAUACCUCUACCUCUGAUGAAGUAGAAAGGCUGUUUCCGAAAGACCCCCGGCUCAAGUCACGAGAUAUCACACAAACACAUAGUACAGCACAGAAGCAGAUGACAUAACAUAGAUACGGCACCCAUAAGGAAUAUAAAACAGAGUAAAGCAGGAAUGCAGGAAUAUACAGCAGAGGAAAGCACACAAAUUCGUAAUAAACAUGGAACACGGAACACGGAACAUUGAAUACGGAAUCAUAACAGGAAUACACCCCCACCAAUUAAUUCCCUACGCUGGCGACCCGAACUGGCCCUAAUCCUCUGCCGUAAUUCGCAUCUUCCAUACCUUCCUAUCUAGGGUCAUGUCCUCGGUGAGCUGUAACUGUUCCAUGUCCCGCCUAAUCACCUCACCCCAGUACUUCUUCGGUCUACCCCUACCCCGUCUAAAACCAUCCAACGCUAGCCUCUCACACCUACGGACCGGGGCAUCCA